rnacentral:rRNA from 1 species
UACGAAGGGGGCUAGCGUUGCUCGGAAUUACUGGGCGUAAAGGGCGCGUAGGCGGGUCGUUUAGUUAGAGGUGAAAGCCCAGGGCUCAACCCUGGAGGGUCAUUGGAAACUGGGGGACUUGAGUGCAGGAGAGAAGAGUUGGAAUUCCACGUGUAGAGGUGAAAUUCGUAGAUAUUCGCAAGAACACCAGUGGCGAAGGCGGCUCACUGGCCCGGUACUGACGCUGAGGUGGCGAAAGCGUGGGGAGCAAACAGGG